rnacentral:rRNA from 1 species
ACGCUCGACACCUACGGAAGGCAGCAGUGGGGAAUAUUGCACAAUGGGGGAAACCCUGAUGCAGCGACGCCGCGUGAGCGAAGAAGUAUUUCGGUAUGUAAAGCUCUAUCAGCAGGGAAGAAACUGACGGUACCUGACUAAGAAGCACCGGCUAAAUACGUGCCAGCAGCCGCGGUAAUCUGAGCGGGCUGGCAAGGC